rnacentral:lncRNA from 1 species
UACAACUUUGAUAUUAACCACAUGAAGAUUCUAGAUAGUUUGAAAAUUCUAAAUUUUGAAAUUGAAAAUAUAAGUUCUUAAAACACAUAUUUGGAACUCUAAACAACUUUUCAACGACAAAAUUGUAGACUAUAUUGAUAGCUAGACCUUUGGUAUAGACCAUGUCUAACAUCCGAGAUUGUUUUAAAAUUUAAAUUUUAAAAUUGGUAUGUUAAAAUAAUAUUAAAGACUCUAAAUAAUUUCAAAUAAAAACAUUAUCAACCACAAAAUCGUAAAUUGUGUUGAUAGCUACAAUUUUAAGAUAAAGCUAGUCUCCAUCUGACUUUAUAUAAAAAAGUUAUGAAUUAAUUUUUUAUACAACUACCAACAAUAGGAAAAAUGAAAAAAAAUAAAUACACCAUAAACUUUAAUACUUUUAUAUAUAUUUGAUCAAAUUUAAAUAUUUAACUUCUCAAUAAUUGAGAAUAAUAUUAUUUUGGGACUUAAGAAAUAUUUGCUA